AGAGGUGGCAGCCAGAGUGAAGUCAAGCACACAUUGUUGUGGAAUUGCGGGACUUUUCCUCCCUAAUGUUUCAAGAAAAGAAAACUGGGUGACCACCAAGAGAAAUUGGAACUAUUAAUAAACAGCAAACAAACGAAAGGACUAGAAGGCGGAAGAGAUGUUCUAGGUUGCUUCCUGUUGCUGGUGCAGACCUUAUGAGGAGAGAAUACUUGACAAUUGCACAUGGCGUGCAAGGAUUCGACUUCCAUCCUCACCAUGAAACGGGAGACCAACUUCACAAAGGUGAAAACUUUUAGAUACAGGAGUGUUCAUACUAGGUGAACGCUUUGGUAAUUCUCUGAGCGUGGACAGUUUGCGGUCCUGCCUGUGGAAGAACGCUGGCUCGAGGAUCUCCGAGACUCUCCUGAGGAUGUUCCGAGACUUCCAUGGAACUGCUGUGUUCAGUGUGCAGAGUGGACCCCCUGCCCCGUGCUACCGGUGCUGGAACCGGUGCUGGAACCGGUGCUUAAUCCAAGUAGAGGCUGCGUCACAGACUGCAGUGGACUACAGGAUGACAACGUCAUUCACCAUGUCCUUUUAUCUCAGACGAAAGCCCACAGGCCAAAGGACCUUGAACUUCAGACUUGAGAACAUGGAGCUGCCAUUACCCAGACCCAGGCCCAGGGAACGGAGUGAAGAGGAAAGCAAACUGAAGCUUAGAAAAGAACAUUACCAUCCAGGAUAGGCUCGCGUACAGGCUGGAGACAGAAGAGGGUCCAUUGGAGUUGGGAGGAGGGACUGAUGACAAUUUUUCGUGCUUGACUAGGCUUUUUAAAAAGCUACUUCUUAGGCCACUGUCCGGUGCAGGUUCCUUCCAGCAGCCCGCAGCGGCGGCACCGGUGAGUGCAGUCCGCGCGACUGAUGCCUGGUUAAGAUGGAGAAGUUUCUGCAGAUCGCGCCACACUCUCUGGCCAUCGUCCUGGGCCCGGCCGACAGCCCCGCAGAGGAGAAGCCCGGGACGGUUCAGCCCUCGCCCCCGGUUCCCACCCAACCCCGGCAGCUCGCCCGACACCACAUCGGGUACGAGAUCUUCGCAGAUUUCAAAGCGGAGAACAUGCAACACUUCUGGAACAAGAAGGUCACAGCCGCGGUGGCCGAGACUUUUUUCCUAGGCUGGAUCGACGAGCAGGUCUUGCUGAUCCAGGGCAAGGAGGAGCAUCUGGAGGCGCUGCGGGAGGGCUGGACGCGCAGGGCUCUGCGACCCCCCUCUGGCUUCCAGAUCCGCUGCUUGGUGCUGUGUCCGCCUGUGCUCUGCCAUGCUUUCUGCCAUGAUGAUAGUGGUCUAAACCUCUGAAACUGUAAGCCAGCCCCAAUUAAAUGGUUUCCUCUAUAAGAGUUGUUGUGUGGUCAUGGUGUCUCUCUCUUCACAGCAAUGGAAACCCUAAGACACAUCACAUAGGCAAUGUGGAGGCUUCAUCGUGCACCCCAAUAGUUGCACAUCUACAAUUCCUAAAGAAGGCAAGAGCUUGACCACAAGUGAAGCCUUGGCACACACAGAGAGCUGCUUCCUCUUCAGGUCAGGCUGGGUCAUUUAUAGGACAAAGCACCCUUCACUUUUUAUCUGUCUGAAAUCUUGACAAGAACCUGACUGGACCUGCAGAAGCCACCGGUAGCCUCAUAUGCAAAUUUUCAAGUAGAAUUUGACCAAGUGUGGAGAAAAGUUUGAUUUGGGCCAUUAAAAAAAAAAAAAAAAAGAAAUCUAGUAAUGAAGAUUUGGACUUAAUUCAGUUUUUAAAAAUAGUGUAUUAAGUAACAGUGUAUUAAAGUUAAAUAAAAGCCGGUUUUGGUUUUAAUGAGUCAGUUGCACUGCCUGCUUCUCUAAGAUGGCUGGUGCUUUUUGGUUUUGCAGUGUCGCAUUUGGUUAAUACAUUUGUAAUGACAUUGAAAGAGGAAUGUUAUGGGUACAAGUGAUCAAGUUAAAUUGAAAUCUAAAUUUCCUUUAUUGAAUAGUUAGGCUCAUGUAGGGGCAUAGGUAAAUACACUUUCUUAAGUUGAUUUGUACCUUCAAAUUUGGUAUAUUUAAUUAGAAAGUAUUAUUAUUACU
rnacentral:lncRNA from 1 species